ACCACUGUCUCUAAAGGAUUGUAUUUGCAGACUGAGGGAAGAAGGGCUCAUAGAUCCAGCUUUCUCACUGACGUCCUGUGUGGCAUGGAGUGCUUUUCACUAGGUGGGUUUUUAAGAACCCCUGAAGUUAGUUUUCAAGAGAGGUUCAGCUGAGCUUUGCCAGGAUCACUACUAUCAACAGAUCUUGUGAAUCAGAAAGGAAAGCAUUACAGGGCAACUGAGAAUUACUGGAUAAGAGCAGUUUUUCUACAGACAGAAGGAAACAUGUCGAUUUGGACACCCGGUAGAGAGACAAUCUUCUCAUUGUCCCACAAAGCAACUUACCCUCUAGAGCGAUCUUAAGCUGCUCUGCAUUUUAUCUGCCAGUUGUUUGUCAACUCAUCGUGACAACAUGAGAAAGUGACCAUAUUUUUCUUUUAACAAUUUAGAUGACUUCUGCAGGUUUUUCCUCUGCUAGCAGUGGACAGAGAGAAAGAAAAGGGGGGGGGACCUUCUAGAUCUCUUUUCACUUUGGAGUGUUGGCCUCAUUUUUCCCUUGUAAAGAUGUCUCAAUUUAUAGAUUUUAUUUUGUGCGUGUGUCUUGGAGACAGAAUGGAUCUGGUGUCUUUUUUUUAUUUUUUAAGUCCCUUCUUUCUCUGUUCUGACACUUCCAAUUCACAGUUGCUAAGCAUUCCAAGAGCUCACCAGAGGGACCCUCUCAUAGUGUGAUUUGAAAACUUUGAAAUAACACCUACCAGCAGAAGCACCAUAUGCUCUAAAGUUUCACAACGAACCAACAGGAGCAAUCCGCAAUAGCAUUUGGAAAAAGAAAAUGCCAAAGAUUUCACCCUUUGCUACCAACAAAAGCCUCUUCAUUUAGGGUUAUAUCCCAUCCCUGCCAAUUAUUACAUGAUUUCUCUCCCCAUCCCUCCACUGCACGCUGCUCCUGGUCUACACAAUUGCACCACAGGGGUGCCAUUUAGGGGAGGGGCAAAGAUUUUAGGGAAGGGGGAGAAGAUUCUGGCCUGCUGUUGAAUAUAUUCAAGGUCAAAUUGCAAAAAAUGAGAGGUGUAUGUUCAGAGCAAUAGCUGUGAUAUAUACACACAUAUCAGCUGUGAAUUUUAUGCAGUAUAUAGAUAGUAUUACAAUAACAAUAGACGUGUAAUCACAUAGUGACCUUUUUAAAAAAAGGAU